UACGUAGGGUGCGAGCGUUAAUCGGAAUUACUGGGCGUAAAGCGUGCGUAGGCGGUUCGUUAAGUCAGCUGUGAAAGCCCCGGGCUUAACCUGGGAAUGGCCGUCGAAACUGGCGAACUGGAGUGUGGCAGAGGGGGGUGGAAUUCCGCGUGUAGCAGUGAAAUGCGUAGAGAUGCGGAGGAACACCGAUGGCGAAGGCAGCCCCCUGGGCUGACACUGACGCUCAGGCACGAAAGCGUGGGGAGCAAACAGG
rnacentral:rRNA from 1 species